GAUGAAGAAACGUAGCGAAAUGCGAUAAGUAAUGUGAAUUGCAGAAUUCAGUGAAUCAUCGAAUCUUUGAACGCACAUUGCGCCCGCCAGUAUUCUGGCGGGCAUGCCUGUUCGAGCGUCAUUUCAACCCUCAAGCCCAGCUUGGUGUUGGGGAUCGGCACAGGCGCCCUCGGGCGCCAGCCGUCCCCUAAAUCUAGUGGCGGUCCCGCUGCAGCCUCCUCUGCGUAGUAGUUUUCUCCUCGCAAGGGCAGCUCGGUGGCGACCUCGCCGUAAAACCCCCAACUUCUGAAAGGUUGACCUCGAAUCAGGUAGGAAUACCCGCUGAACUUAAGCAUAUCAAUAAGCGGAGGA
rnacentral:misc_RNA from 1 species